rnacentral:rRNA from 1 species
CCUACGGGAGGCAGCAGUGGGGAAUAUUGGACAAUGGGGGGAACCCUGAUCCAGCGACGCCGCGUGAGUGAAGAAGUAUUUCGGUAUGUAAAGCUCUAUCAGCAGGGAAGAAAGAAAUGACGGUACCUGACUAAGAAGCCCCGGCUAACUACGUGCCAGCAGCCGCGGUAAUACGUAGGGGGCAAGCGUUAGCCGGAUUGACUGGGUGUAAGGGGAGCGUAGACGGCGAUGCAAGUCUGAAGUGAAAGGCGGGGGCCCAACCCCCGGACUGCUUUGGAAACUGUAUGGCUGGAGUGCAGGAGAGGUAAGUGGAAUUCCUAGUGUAGCGGUGAAAUGCGUAGAUAUUAGGAGGAACACCAGUGGCGAAGGCGGCUGACUGGACUGUAACUGACGUUGAGGCUCGAAAGCGUGGGGAGCAAACAGGAUUAGAUACCCGAGUAGUC